rnacentral:rRNA from 2 species
CCAUUCGCUGCUAUAAUGCAGUCGAGCGAGCGGAACUAACAGAUUUACUUCGGUAAUGACGUUAGGAAAGCGAGCGGCGGAUGGGUGAGUAACACGUGGGGAACCUGCCCCAUAGUCUGGGAUACCACUUGGAAACAGGUGCUAAUACCGGAUAAGAAAGCAGAUCGCAUGAUCAGCUUUUAAAAGGCGGCGUAAGCUGUCGCUAUGGGAUGGCCCCGCGGUGCAUUAGCUAGUUGGUAAGGUAAAGGCUUACCAAGGCGAUGAUGCAUAGCCGAGUUGAGAGACUGAUCGGCCACAUUGGGACUGAGACACGGCCCAAACUCCUACGGGAGGCAGCAGUAGGGAAUCUUCCACAAUGGACGCAAGUCUGAUGGAGCAACGCCGCGUGAGUGAAGAAGGUUUUCGGAUCGUAAAGCUCUGUUGUUGGUGAAGAAGGAUAGAGGUAGUAACUGGCCUUUAUUUGACGGUAAUCAACCAGAAAGUCACGGCUAACUACGUGCCAGCAGCCGCGGUAAUACGUAGGUGGCAAGCGUUGUCCGGAUUUAUUGGGCGUAAAGCGAGCGCAGGCGGAAGAAUAAGUCUGAUGUGAAAGCCCUCGGCUUAACCGAGGAACUGCAUCGGAAACUGUUUUUCUUGAGUGCAGAAGAGGAGAGUGGAACUCCAUGUGUAGCGGUGGAAUGCGUAGAUAUAUGGAAGAACACCAGUGGCGAAGGCGGCUCUCUGGUCUGCAACUGACGCUGAGGCUCGAAAGCAUGGGUAGCGAACAGGAUUAGAUACCCUGGUAGUCCAUGCCGUAAACGAUGAGUGCUAAGUGUUGGGAGGUUUCCGCCUCUCAGUGCUGCAGCUAACGCAUUAAGCACUCCGCCUGGGGAGUACGACCGCAAGGUUGAACU